rnacentral:rRNA from 1 species
AGGGCGAACGCUGGCGGCGUGCUUCAUACAUGCAAGUCGAACGAUAAGGCACCUUCGGGUGUACAUAAGUGGCGGACGGGUGAGUAAAAUGUAGAGAAUCUGCCCUAGAGAGUGGGACAACAGAGGGAAACUUCUGCUAAUACCGCAUAUGCGCGUAGCUGAGAUGCUAUUCGUGAAAACUCCGGUGCUCUGGGAUGAGUCUGCAUCUGAUUAGCUAGUUGGGGGUGUAAUGGACCACCAAGGCGACGAUCAGUAGCUGGUUUGAGAGGAUGAUCAGCCACAAUGGGACUGAGACACGGCCCAUACUCCUACGGGAGGCAGCAGUAGGGAAUUUUGCGCAAUGGGGGGAACCCUGAACCGCAGCAACGCCGCGUGACCGAAGAAGCCCUUCGGGGUGUAAAGGUCUGUCAGUGGGGACGAAAAAUGACGGUACCCACAGAGGAAGCAUCGGCUAACUCCGUGCCAGCAGCCGC